CCAUAUGGACGAAUGUGUAGUUGAGUCAUAUAGAAAGUCAUUAUCCCCUAUCAGUGUUGAGGCAUUAACUUACACGCAUGAUUGGAUUCGAACCGGGAGAAAACAUAUACACAAAGAAGAGGAGGAAUCUGAAAUUUCAUGAGUUCACAAAAGAUGUUUAUAAGAAGAUCGAGCGAUUGAAGAUCAAAUGAAGUUUGAAGAUAAUUUAGACAUUGGUUUUAAUUGUUAACACUAUGGGUGGAAUGGUUUUGUAACGCCCGUAAAUUCUCGGGACGUGAAGACUCACCGUGUAUAGUUUGCACAUUGUUAAAACUCACUCCCCCUUCUUUUCACAAUUUUGACCACCACAAGGGAAAUCAAGGCUGCAGAACUUUAAUUCCAGGGUGAAGUUCGUAUGUGACGAAUUGAAGGAGUUGUGGAGAUUGGAUUUUGGGGCUUUUGCUUCUAAUCACCUCUAAGGAGAUUGUUGAUUGGUAGAGAUUUCAAACUUACCAUUGACACCCAUCAAGAAAGCGACAGUGCGAAGGUGAAUCAGCUAUUUGUAUUUCGGUUCUUAGUGCGAAGGUGAAUCAGCUAUAGAGUACGGUAGCCGGUCGUUAAGAAAGCUCGCAUCAUCCUACUUAGGCGGGGAUGAUGAAUCUGAUCUCGGCAGCAAGCAAGAUGAGUUUAAGUUCGGGCUGGAUGAUGAGGAUGCCGAUGGUAUUGUGCCAAAAAGCUUUCCCGUUUGUGAUGAUCGAUUUUCUCUGAAUUGAUACCCUGCCUUGACCGACAACUUAUCUACCAAAUGGGUACAAGGUGCGGUUCUAAUCAACUAGAAGUGAAAAACAUGAAAGACAUUGCCCUCUGCCCGAAAGGCAUUUUAACUGCUUGAUUCCUCCCCCAAAUGGGUACAAGGUCCUGAUCAAGUGGCCAAAAAGCAGAGAUGAAGUAUGGAAAGCAAGCACACGAGAAAUCAGAUCAAAACUGGAUGGUUGUAAAAGGCGAAAAGUUCGUAUUCGCAGAUGCUCAACUUCUCAAAAGACAACAUGAACAACCAUGGAAACUUUUACGGACCCUUCUCGAUGUCGGCUGCGGUGUUGCAAGUUUCAGUGGUUAUCUUCUAUCAUCUGACAUGAUCGCAACGUGGUUAUCUUCUAUCAUCUAACGAUGUGCAUCAAAAUCAAAUCCAGUUCGCGUUAGAACGAGGCAUUCCUGCAUAUCUCGGUGUUCUCGGAACGAAACGACUUCCGUACCCGAGCAGAUCUUUCGAACUUGCGCAUUGUUCGCGUUGUAGAAUCGAUUGGCUACAGCGGGAUGGUAUUCUUUUACUUGAAUUAGAUCGGUUGCUAAGACCGGUGGCUACUUCGCUUACACAUCUCCUGAAGCGUACGCGCAAGAUGAAGAGGAUCUUAGAAUAUGGAAAGAGAUGAGUGCACUUGUUGAACGCAUGUGCUGGAAAAUAGCGGCAAAGAGAAACCAAACGAUCAUUUGGGUCAAACCUUUGACUAAUGAGUGUUACUUGGAGAGAGCUU